rnacentral:rRNA from 1 species
AUUGAACGCUGGCGGCAGGCCUAACACAUGCAAGUCGAACGAGUGGCGGACGGGUGAGUAAUGUCUGGGAAACUGCCUGAUGGAGGGGGAUAACUACUGGAAACAGUAGCUAAUAACGCAUACCAUCGGAAGUGCCCCGAUGGGAUUAGCUAGUAGGUGGGGUAAAGGCUCACCUAGGCGACGAUCCCUAGCUGGUCUGAGAGGAUGAACGGCGACACUGGAAAUGAGACACGGUCCAGACUCCUACGGGAGGCAGUAGUGGGGAAUAUUGCACAAUGGGCGCAAGCCUGAUGCAGCCAUGCCGCGUGUAUGAAGAAGGACUUCGGGUUGUAAAGUACUUUCAGCGGGGAGGCGUUACCCGCAGAAGAAGCACCGGCUAACUCCGUGCCAGCCGCCGCGGUAAUUC